rnacentral:lncRNA from 1 species
GAACAAUGAAGAAUGUUCACCGGAUGAAGAAGAGGUUUACCACAUGAUGUUCUUACAGAAGGAGAGAAUCUUCCUGAAGUGGAGAACUGAAGAAAUAAAAUGUGGGUUACCGGGGAUGGGAUAUUUGAACCGUGGACAGGCAAAGACACAUCAGUGAGAUAAAUAGUAUGAAAUGUUAUUUAUGCCCAGAUACCAAUGUAGACCCAAAGAGUUAGUUUUUGCAAAUCAAGUGAGCUCCUCUUCUUUAUCCAGGAACUGCUGCCCUUCCAGACUCAGCUAGUCAUUCUUCUGAAGACUUUUCCAGGAACUGCUGCCCUUCCAGACUCAGCUAGUCAUUCUUUUGAAGACUUUUCUUGCCCUUCUCCUUCUUACACAGAACAAAGGAUAAAUUAGAUAAAGUUAAAAAAAUAAAACAAAGUGAGGAAGGC